AAGUGCUGUAACAUUUUAAAUACAUUGCAUGCCUGUCCUCUUUGAGAUACAACCAUUAGAAUGGAGGCUGAAACGACAAAGUUGCUUAAUAACGGCUCACGCUGCAUAUUUUUCAAUACAGAUUCAGACGACUAUCGAUGUGUGGUGAUUUUAACGGUGAAGCGAGCAACGGGCACCUUCUCAUUAGUUGGAUGCUUUUUCAUGCUGUUUGUCAUCUGGUUGCUGCGCAGGUAUCAGUCUUUGGCUCAGAAGAUGAUUCUUAGCCUGACAGUAGCAGCCUUCUUUGACAGCGCAGCAUAUGUCAUGGGCGAGUCCCAUCCGGAAGGCUUUCUGUGCGCUUUUCAGGGGCUGUGGCUCACUUACUUUGACUGGUGUGCCCUGGCCUGGGUCUGCCUCAUCACAUUUAACCUCUACCUCAACCUGGUCAGAGAGAUCAGCACCAGCAGAUAUGAGACAUUGUACCAUGUGACCGCCUGGGGGCUGCCUCUCAUCAUGGCUGUCCUGCCCUUGCUGAAGGGCUGCUACGGUCCGGCGGGAGCCUGGUGCUGGAUCACAGACAAUCACGUAGCCUGGAGAUUUGGGAUAUGGUACGUUCCUCUGUUCACCCUCAUCGUCCUGAUGAUCUGCUGCUACGCCAGGAUCAUCUUCGUGGCCAAUCGAAGGGUGUCCUUGGCUGAGGAUAUCAAGCCAUUAAAGUGGUACCCCUCGGUAUAUUUACUGGUGUCUCUCUUCCCCUCAUCAACAGGUAACACACUCACACACACACACACACACACACACACACACACACACACACACACACACACACACACACACACACACACACACACACACACACACACACACACACACACACACACACACACAUGCAUACAUUAAGGGCCAUCUUCAUCUGUUGAUGAGUUUCUUUUGAGUUCCCUGACCAGCCUUCUCUCUCUCUCUCUGUCUCUGUCUCUGUCUCUGUCUUUGUCUCACUCUCUCUUUCUCUCUCUCUCACUCUCUCUUUCUCUCUCUCUCACCAGCAAGAUUCAAGUUUCAAAGGGCUUUAUUGUCAUGGAAAAUAAACGUAACGUGGCUAAGGCCCAAACAUAAAGUAAGAUACAAUCUCUCUAUGUCUACCUCUGUCUCUCUCACUGUCUCUGUCUCUUUCUCUCAAUAUCUUUUUUUGUCUCGGUAUCUGUCUCUGUCUCUCAAUGUCUCUCUAUGUCUCUAUGCCUCUGCCUCUGUGUAUCUCUCUCUCUAUCUGUACCUUUCUGUCUCCCUCCACGUUUCUUUCUAUCUCUUCCUCCCUCUCUCUGUCUCUCUCUCUCUCUCUCUCUCUCUCUCUCUCUCUC
ensembl:lncRNA